CUCAAAUCAUAGGCAGCGACGCGCGCACCAAACAAACGAACUUGCCUUUUUGUCCACGCGCUCAGGAGCGUGUACAUUCUACUGGCGCAGCACUGAAGAACUACUGUAGCGGUAGUUGAUUGAUAAGGCAAGUGUUUUCAGCCCAGACAGACACGUUUUCAUAAGGCACAGCUGGUUGCGCUGGCGUGGACUGUUUUUGCCAUCAUUUGUUAGACAUAAGGCAGUUUAUCCCCGCUUAUAGCAAACAACUUCUUGGAUACUGGAUGGCUGUCCGAAGGGGAAUAGCCUACAUCGGCUGCAGGACCAAGCCAGGGUUGCCAUUUGUUCACGAGUAGCAUAAACGAGCUUUGUUGCGCGGUGUUUUUUACCCGGGGACAGGUGUCGUUGUGUACGUUGGGGCGGGGGUUAGUUGUUGGGGGUUUGGAAACAGUUGUCUUAAGGAUGUCAGAUCAGGGAUCAGAUCUGCACAGAGACAGGUGCGAUAGAGAGCAGUAGAUUUCACGCGGACCCCUCCUCUCCCCUCCUCUCCUCUCUUCUCUUUUCCUCUCAGUCAUUCUGGAUUAUAGUCCCGAGGAGGCGAGUCAUUCACAGAGAACCGGGCUCACCGUUUCCCGCGGCUGCUCGUGCCGGAGCUCCACUACCAUGACGACUGUGGCCAAAGCUUUCAUCGGGCUCUUCUGGCUCCUGCGGUUGGUGUGUGCGGUCUUCCCUGAGGAACCUGGACCUCUGAACUUUAUCCCCACUGAAGUGGUGAGAAGGUAUCCUGUGUUUCUCGGACGACCCCAUCGCUCAUCUCUCAGACAGGAGCCCUUACACAUUCAGAGGAUCCUGCAGGUCAAUCGUACCCUUUACAUCGG